UGUGUUGUUUUUAUUUGGGGGGGGGGGGGUUAUUUUUAAUAUAAUAUUCAGGGUUCACCAUGCUGUCAACCUUUUGAGUCAUUACAGAGAGGACCAGUAUUUCUCAGAAGUGGAUGCAUUAUUUUUUUAAAUGAUACACAACCAACCAGAGCUGUGCUAGUUCACUGCAGUUCACUAAUUCUCUUUUUAAAGGAGUAAUUUGACAUUUUGGGAUAAUGCAUUUUUACUGUAUUAGAUUGAUAUCGUACUCAUGUCUGUACAGCUAAUACGAAACUACUGCUAGCAGCGUGUUAGCUUAGCUUAACCUAUUAACGUAUUAUAUCUAUAUCUGUUUAAUUUACACAAUGAUUAUUAAGUUUGACUGGAAACAAGGGAAAACGGCGUCAGUGGCUCUGUUUAGUUAACAAAAUCAGCUACUAGCACCUUUUAAACCUCACUAAUUAACAUAUUAUAUCUAUAUUAAUUUCAGUGUGUUAUUAGCUGAUUUUUGUUAGCUUAGCUUAGCACAAAGACUGGAAACAGGGUAAAAUGGCUUGCUUGACUCUAUUAAGUUAACAAAAUCAACUAUAAGGACCUCUAAAGCUAAUUAAUUAACAUAUUAUAUCUAUAUCUAGUUAAUUUACACAUCAUUAUUAAGAUUUAUGAGUGCUUUUAGCCAAUUUUUCUUAGCUUAGCUUAGCACAAAGACUGGAAACAGGGUGAAACGGCUUGCUUGGCUCUAUUAAGUUAACAAAAUCAACUACAAGCAUCUUUAAAGCUCAUUAUUUAACAUAUUAUGCAUAUAUCUAUUUAAUUUACACAUCAUUAUUAAGAUUUAUAAGUGCAAUUAGAGGUUAACUAACUGCUGUAGCUAGGUAUUUACUGUACAGGACAUGUGAGGUAUCAAUCUUCUAGCUCUCUGCAAAGUUUCCCAUGAUGUUAAAAUACUAAUUUAAAGUGAAAUUAUAUCCAGUGCAGCUCUGUUUUCUUAUAAAAAUCCUCAAACUCAUGCUCAUCGUUUUAUCUCAGCUGCACUUUCAUGAAAGUAGUCUUUAAAAUUAAACAUAAAUUUCCAUCCAUUCGCUCCGAGUUUUGUGCCUCAGAUUUAAAAUAAUGUUUGUUUUUGUGACUAUAUAUUUUACAUUUAGUAUUCCUGAUGAUGAUAAUUGUAAGGAGCCUUUUUUUUUAAGUGGAAAGAUGGAAAUUAAAAUAAAAGAAGAAAGUGCUGUGAUACUUUUUGAGAUGUUUCUUCAUCAAAGGGAAGAUGUGAGCGUGUUGAGAUGAGACGCUUUAUAACUCCGUGUGCCUUGUGUUUGCACUGACGAGGUGCGCGUGCCUUUUAAAUGUGAAUGUUUUUUGCACUGUGAUGAAAAUUAAUUAAGAAUAAAAUCAGAAGAAGCAUUUUA